AUGCACGCUGGCGGCGUGCCUAAUACAUGCAAGUCGAGCGAACAGACGAGGAGCUUGCUCCUCUGACGUUAGCGGCGGACGGGUGAGUAACACGUGGAUAACCUACCUAUAAGACUGGGAUAACUUCGGGAAACCGGAGCUAAUACCGGAUAAUAUAUUGAACCGCGUGGUUCAAUAGUGAAAGACGGUUUUGCUGUCACUUAUAGAUGGAUCCGCGCCGCAUUAGCUAGUUGGUAAGGUAACGGCUUACCAAGGCAACGAUGCGUAGCCGACCUGAGAGGGUGAUCGGCCACACGAGAACUGAGACGCGGUCCAGACUCCUACGGGAGGCAGCAGUAGGGAAUCUUCCGCAAUGGGCGAAAGCCUGACGGAGCAACGCCGCGUGAGUGAUGAAGGUCUUCGGAUCGUAAAACUCUGUUAUUAGGGAAGAACAAAUGUGUAAGUAACUAUGCACGUCUUGACGGUACCUAAUCAGAAAGCCACGGCUAACUACGUG
rnacentral:rRNA from 1 species